AAAGCGUGCGCAGGCGGUUAUGUAAGACAGUUGUGAAAUCCCCGGGCUCAACCUGGGAACCGCAUCUGUGACUGCAUAGCUAGAGUACGGUAGAGGGGGAUGGAAUUCCGCGUGUAGCAGUGAAAUGCGUAGAUAUGCGGAGGAACACCGAUGGCGAAGGCAAUCCCCUGGACCUGUACUGACGCUCAUGCACGAAAGCGUGGGGAGCAAACAGGAUUAGAUACCCGUGU
rnacentral:rRNA from 1 species